AGACCCGAAACCCGGUGAUCUAGCCAUGGGCAGGUUGAAGGUUGGGUAACACUAACUGGAGGACCGAACCGACUAAUGUUGAAAAAUUAGCGGAUGACCUGUGGCUGGGGGUGAAAGGCCAAUCAAACCGGGAGAUAGCUGGUUCUCCCCGAAAGCUAUUUAGGUAGCGCCUCGUGAAUUCAUCUCCGGGGGUAGAGCACUGUUUCGGCUAGGGGGCCAUCCCGGCUUACCAACCCGAUGCAAACUGCGAAUACCGGAGAAUGUUAUCACGGGAGACACACGGCGGGUGCUAACGUCCGUCGUGAAGAGGGAAACAACCCAGACCGCCAGCUAAGGUCCCAAAGUCAUGGUUAAGUGGGAAACGAUGUGGGAAGGCCCAGACAGCCAGGAUGUUGGCUUAGAAGCAGCCAUCAUUUAAAGAAAGCGUAAUAGCUCACUGGUCGAGUCGGCCUGCGCGGAAGAUGUAACGGGGCUAAACCAUGCACCGAAGCUGCGGCAGCGAACGUAUCACCCAAGACAACUUUACGGAGUUGACGAUUGACGGAGCGAAGCGACGUCAA
rnacentral:rRNA from 1 species